AGGUACCAGCAGGGAUCUGAACCGGCAACCUCUGGCUUGCUAAUCAAGUCAUUUUCCCGCUGUGCCAUUAGUGGCCCUGAAGAAGAGUACCUUCUGCUGGAAGACAGUGUGAAAAGGUCUUCAAUAUGCAUUAAGGAUACUGCUGAGGAAUUAAAGUGCAUUCAGUAAAUGAAAGUAACUGUGCUAACAUACCCACAGAUGCUCAGUUACAAUUACAUCAUUUCCUCCCUUCUUUGAACAUAAUUCAUUAGCCUGCAACCAGGUGGUAAGAGGAGGUUUUAGGAGAAGCACAUGGAAGAUGCAAUGUUCAUGCAGCCUGGCGUUACCAACCAGAGAACCAUUGGGAAGGAGAGGUCAGUGUGAAUGAACAGAGAGGAGCCAUGCCUCUUUUCAGCCUCACCAUCUCCAGUUCCAUGCACAAGCAGGAAGUUCCUGUCCUUGAGGCGGGUAGCUUCCUUCAAUACAGAGGCCACCUGGAGGGAGAAGUGGAACGAGUGGAACAGAAAAGAGCAGCAGAAAUAUAAGCAUUGCCACCUUUUUCA